AUUACAGCAUGCUUGCACUGGAUAACUCCAAUGCAUACUGUGGCAAUUAUCAGAGGAAACUAGUUUUGUAAUUUGGAAAAAAAAAAAAAAAAAAAACAUACUGUGAGAAGACCAGCUGUGAGAGAUGAACUGUGGCUUGGAAGCUGAAUCUGUAUGUGUUCUUUGUUGCAGAUGUAUUGGACCUUGAUCAAGUAAUAUCUCCUUGUUAUAUCAGAAAUAUUAACUAUAGAAACAUUAUCAGGAGCCUUGUGCUGCUGCAUUCAUCGCUGUUUAAAAAUGUCCUAAAACAGUUGUUUCAUUUUUUUGUCCUGAAUUCAUUUUUUUUAAACAUACAUGCAUUGGAGUUGUCUUAUCAAAGUACAAGAACUUUCUGUGUGUGGAAAAACUUGUCAAAUGUGUGGAAGUUAACAUCUGACCUUUUAUUUCUGUUCAAAUAUGUAAGGAAACUUUCACUUACCACUGAAGCACAGCUGUGUAGCUGAAAAGCAUCACUAAAGACAAAGGCAUUUCAUAUCCAGCUAAAUUACAGAGAACACUGUCAUGCAAAACAAAAUUAUCAGUUCUGGGACCUAAGUAGAGAAGGUGAUUUUUCCAAGAAGUCAUAAAUGCCUUUGUGCAGCCACCUAACCAGCAUGCUGCCUCUUUUUCAUUGUUCAGCCUGUGGUCACAGUUUGAUCUUUUGCUGAUGGACCUUAAAGUUUCACAGAUGUGGGAUGCAUUUACUGGGUCCUGGCACUUUUCCACAAAGAAAUGCGCACGCCUUGAGGACAGAAUGUCAGGUAUGUAAGACUGAAGUGUUGUGAGUCUGGACGUGUUUCAGGAAGGAACAGCUGUGCCUGGACUAGCAGAGACAAGUAAUCAUUGGUUUGGAGGGGGCUCAUGUUAGGAAGAAUGUUUUAGCUGGAAGACAAGCUCAGCAAAAAUAACCAUCUCAGUGCAGAAGUUCAUUGUAUUGAAGACAAUGCACAGAGAAGUGAAUUAGACCAUAAUAACUCCUUGGCUGGACAACUAAAAUCACUCGAUGUUUGGCACUGUAUUGCUUGUCUGAGUGACCACAGCACUGACAUGCGCUGCAGCUUACUUUGCAGCCUGCACACAAAUAAGAAAAAGAGAUCAGUUUAGUAAUUUUUUUUUUCAAAGGAAGUACACUGUUUAUUCAUUUACUUUUCCUUAAGGGCUGUCUGAGGUUGUUUUUAGAACUGAAUUUGAGAUUUUGAGCAGGUUUGAAAAUCUACCAAGCCCUCAUGUUAUUAGUGCUCUGUUCCUGUUGAAACUGAAUUGCAUUGUUACCAGCUCUUUCUUCAGAAAUCAUUGUGUAUUGUUAACUUAUGUUUCCAUUCGUGUAAUAACAGGGUAGUUGAGAAAUGAUAAGGAUGAGGAAAUGAUAAGAAGACUCUAUUUUCUGCUGCUUUGUAGAUCUGCCAACUGACCAUGAUGAAAUGUGAUUGGUCAUGUUCAAGGCCAAACCCCUGGGGACAGCGACACCUCUGGGGCACCUAAAUCAGCUGAAGAGGAGCACUGUGGGUUCUAUCAUCAGCAGCAGGAGGUACCUGUUUCUGCAAGCCCUGGACAUUCCUCGUUCACAGUGGCAGCAAAAUUGAUAUCCAGCUGCUUCAUCAUCUUGUCUGCAGAUGUGUGAUAGACUCCUGAAGGACCAGUACACUUCAUCCAGAAAGCCAGCAGUGACAGCUUCUUGUGGAACUCGGGGAUUGCUGAAGGAGAAGACAAAAUGAAUGAUGAAGCAAAGCUGUGCUCAGUGCACUCUCUUUCUAAAGGGAAAUGUGGAAGAUGUGAGGAAAAUCUGCUUCUGAUCCAGUUCUGGACACUGUCUCAUCUCUUUUAAAUACCAUUAAUUACUUGGGAAAAUAAAUGGUCUGCAUGAGACUGGUCCCUAUCCAAGCACUGCUCUGUAGCCUUGGGGGAACUGGACUAGACAGCCCUCAGAGAUCCCUUCUAACUCUAAGGAUUCUAUGAAUAAGGUCCCUGACCAGCUUCAGUGAUUGCUACAUCUGUUUGUGAGUUGUCUCCUGCUAUGGUGCACUCCCUGCAGUUAAUUACAGUGGUUAUUUCGGCAAGCCUCCUGCCCAAACCAGCCCUUUUCAGAAGGAAGACCCCCUAAUGUUUCUCUUACCAUCAGUAAGGGAGGUGAUGCUUCCCAAGUUCUCGGUGCUGAUCUCUGCAAUAUUCUCCAUCACAAGAGUCUGCCUGGACAGCUUAUCGAGGAGGUCUCUUGUCACAAAUGGUGUUUUACCAGAGAAGACAAUUUGCUAAUGGAGACAAGGUGGAAAGGAAGAAAAGGAGUCAUUUUGAAGCUUCAAAACAAAACUUAAACCUCUGAAACACCUGGCACCUGAAGAAAUGCAAUGGCAAAUUCUUUGCCUGGAAUUAUCAAAUAUUUCUUGUUGCUCUGCUCUAUUUUGGCUCUGAUCCCCUGCCCAGCCGCUUCUGUUUGGUGCUUUCCCAUGGCCAAUACUCCCUGCUGCUGACAUCUGUAUUUCCUUCAGCAGUCCAACAUCAUUCAUAUCAAACCUGGACAGUGUUCAAGCCUGCCUCCCUCAGCUGCAUAUUUACUGUGCACUCUUGUAGAUGAGCCCAAAACUCCCUUUUUCUCAUACUUGUGAGUCAGCAGUGUCCAGCUUAGUGCUAAGGGUACAGGGAUUAGAGUUGUUCUGCAUUGCUACAGUGGGCUUCUGGUUAUGUCUGAGGUUGAAGAAUCUUCUCCCAAAUGCUGGGACUGUUGUGGUGGGGGUGAAGAAUAUGGGGAGGGGAGGCUCCUACUGCCACCACAGCCAUCCCAGCACUCGCUGGCCUUGUUAAACCAUUUAUCCCCAUGAAAAGGUAAAAACAUAAUGCAAAAAUGAACUGUGCUCAGUACCUGAAUGAGCUGUGUGCAGUACUGCAAGUGCUUAACUAUGGUUAUAUCGAGGCUGUCGCUUCCUGUGGUCAGGGGCAGAGGGCUGCCAGCAACACUGGUGCCUACCCCUGUGUCCUCAGUCAGGGCUUCGCUGAGGUGGCCCCUGGCUUCAGGGUGCUCAGUCCUGUAACUGCAGAGGGAGGAGGAGGUUAGUGUGGGGCUGUGGCUGCCUGGGCAGACAGACACACAUUCACUCAGAGAUGGGCAACGAGCACGGAGCAGAGCUGAAAGCAGCGCCCUGGGACCACACAGCCCUUAGAAAGCCAGAAACAUGGUGAUGAAGACAUCAUGUCACGCGUGAGCAGAGGUACCUGAGGCACAGUAGGGACAGGCCUUGAACAACGUGGUGUCUGCACCAGUAAGUGUCUAUAACCUUGCUGUCACAUAGAGGCACAAACACUGGGGGUAAACACCCAUCUCUCAACAAAUUAUCUCCCAUAUUAGUCCAGAAGAAAUAGCAUUACAGUUUGUAUUGUCUCAAGUACUGAGCUGCUGAGAGUAGGUCUAGGCUAUCAGCAUCUUUCUGGUGCUAUAUUCAAUGGUCUCUGCAGAAGGGAAACCACUGCUGGAAUAUGGGACAUGAUAUUUUCAUAGGCUGCUUUAGGCACACUGUGUACAGCUUAGUUUGCCAGUAGUUUCUGUAAGAAUGUAAAGCUGUUCUCGCUGUGU